rnacentral:rRNA from 1 species
AUGACAUCCAUGAGCAUAGGAAGUAAGGUUAUAAUCAUAAGUAGGAUGGAAAGCUUGAAGAGAUAUGGUACUGUGAAGCCAAUCCACCUAAGUAGAUUACCAGAUGAGGAGUACAUUUACCUCUUCAAGACACUAGCAUUUGGAAGUUCACGGAGUGAGGACCACCCAAAGUUGAUGCUGUUGGCAGGAGAGUUCAUCAAACUGUUGGACGGGUCAUUUGUGGCAGCAUAUUCAGUCACCAAUGGGUUGAGGACGAAUCUAAGCCCUCAAUACUGGAUUUGUAUGUUUAACAGAUACAAGAAUGUGAUGAAGAACAACUUGUUCAUGUUUGGUGAGCAUAUCUCAAACCGUUUCGAAAGACAUUAUCCAGUCGACUUCACCAGCUUUUUCCUUCUCCCGCUGCUCCGCUAUAUGUUAUGCCUCCUCUGA